GCAUUGGUGGUUCAGUGGUAGAAUUCUUUUCUUCUAUGCAGUCAAUCUGGGUUUGAUAUCCAGCCAAUACA
rnacentral:tRNA from 1 species